GGGUCUGUAGCUCAGUUGGUUAGAGCGCACCCUGAUAGUGAGGUCGGAGGUUCAAAUCCUCCCAGACCCACCA
rnacentral:tRNA from 1 species